rnacentral:rRNA from 1 species
UACGAAAGGAGCAGGUGUUAUUCGGAUUAACUGGGCGUAAAGGGCGCGUAGGUGGUUUGUUAUGUGUGUUAUUAAAUUAUAAAGCUUAACUUUAUGCUGUAGCAUAUACAAUUAAACUAGAGUUAGGAAGAGGGUAGUAGAAUUUCUAAUGUAAAGGUGAAAUUUGUUAAAAUUAGAGAGAAUACCAAUGGCGUAGGCAACUACCUGGUCCUUAACUGACAUUGAGGUGCGAAGGUAUGGGGAGCAAAUAGG